GCAUCGGGAAGAGGGAAAAGGAGCAAUCCGCUUUGAGAUGGCCUCGCGUCCGAUUAGCUAGUUGGUGAGGUAACGGCCCACCAAGGCGACGAUCGGUAGCCGGACUGAGAGGUUGAACGGCCACAUUGGGACUGAGACACGGCCCAGACUCCUACGGGAGGCAGCAGUGGGGAAUAUUGCACAAUGGGGGAAACCCUGAUGCAGCGACGCCGCGUGGAGGAAGAAGGUCUUCGGAUUGUAAACUCCUGUUGUUGAGGAAGAUAAUGACGGUACUCAACAAGGAAGUGACGGCUAACUACGUGCCAGCAGCCGCGGUAAAACGUAGGUCACAAGCGUUGUCCGGAAUUACUGGGUGUAAAGGGAGCGCAGGCGGGCGAUCAAGUUGGAAGUGAAAUCCAUGGGCUCAACCCAUGAACUGCUUUCAAAACUGGUCGUCUUGAGUAGUGCAGAGGUAGGCGGAAUUCCCGGUGUAGCGGUGGAAUGCGUAGAUAUCGGGAGGAACACCAGUGGCGAAGGCGGCCUACUGGGCACCAACUGACGCUGAGGCUCGAAAGUGUGGGUAGCAAACAGGAUUAGAUACCCUGGUAGUCCACACCGUAAACGAUGAUUACUAGGUGUUGGAGGAUUGACCC
rnacentral:rRNA from 1 species